CUAAGAUCCUCAUUUCUCUCCAAAGGGGUUUAAUGUAAGAACUUGUUAGAUUUUUCUACCUGGGCUUGGGCUUGGGUACAACUUGGUAUGAGUCAUAUGAUCCAUUUAAACCUCAGAUAGUAUUUAUGAGCUCUAACCAACAUUGCUCACUGAAAAGCUAGGUAAACCUAACCACCUUAAUUUCUCCCAUGAAUUCAAUAAAAGCACAAUGUGUAAAUGCAACCACCCACUUCAAGUCUUCAACCAUUUAGUUAUCUCUCUCUGUCAUUUCGUACAUGGAGUGUGGAGGGAGAAGAUGAAUACCAAGUAGUGAGAGAAGAAAGAAGAAGAAACAGCAGAAAAAGUUGCAGCCUUCUGUAGCAAGUAUGGAAGUUUGGUCGGCAAAAUCUAGCAAAUACAGUUGGUAUUAUUGGUGUAAUUCUGGGAAGAAAAGACUACAAAUGACAGAAGGGCAAUACCUUAUUUUGACAACAAUCGAUAUCAAGGGGAACUAAGACUAUACAAGAGCAAAUUAUGACCGAGGGAUGUGCCAGUUCUUACAAAGUAAAGGAUUGAGAUUUGAGACUGGAGGCCUUGACACAUGGAAAUUGAGUGGGCUCAAAUCGGACUAACAAUUUAAUCUGCUACAAAACCAGAAGAUCUAUGGAUGCCUUUAAGGAAUAUGCUAUUCCGUUCUUGCCAAAGGAAACAGACCAUUACUCGGGUAGAACUUUAUGAUUCGUGUACAGUGUGAACUCAUGGCCUUCCUAUACCUUAAAUCUGUUCAUUACACGGGGGCAAUACUCAACUCUCUACUGUUAUCUCAAAAGAAGCAAUGAACAAGAAGUGGUUUGAUUUGAUACCUCACUUCUUGAAUUCUCAUCCCGAAGAAAAUCAAACACUCUCUUUGGUGAAACUGGGAGCCAAAACGAGGUUGCAGCGCUUAGCACGAUUCCUGGAGGCCUGCCGGGGUCAUCCAUACUCUUUCUGGUCAUGACCCGCACAUCAUCGGCUCCACUUCCAGAUAGAGUCGUCCACGCAUGUGCCGUAGAAGCUCCAACACCAGUGCAAAAGCUCAUAGCCAUUCUCUCAGCCAGCUUCAACAUACUCUUUCUCCCUUCUGGACUUGUUAUCACUGUCAGGUAGACAGUUACUAUGGGGCAGUAAUGGGAUCUAAUUUUUCUUGACGCUCCAAAUAGUUGAUGAUUCAACUAAUAAAGUAUUUCUUUCUGCACCUGAAGAAACUGAAGUGAGUCAAGUGACUUUAUUACCUCCAAUGUCUCCUGACGGUAUGUUAUUAGCCAUUGCACUCGCGAGACGUUCACACUGUCGGUCCAGAGUGGCCACCCACCGUUUUGCCCCGAAUGCUAGACCCGCAUUUACUAGCGGCCUGUAUAUGCUGUGAACCGCUCUAUCGUCGACUUCGACGUGUUCCACCCAUGUGACCUAGGAAUUUGUAACAUCAUAUGUUUAUUCAGUUACAUAAUCUAUAUGUUAAAAUAUGGAGAAUACGAAAAUAGAAAGAGUUGUUAGCACCUUUGAGUAACCAUUUGGUACUUCUUGAAUUAGACAACCUGACGGCCGCCUUCGGCACCGGGACAUUGCACUGGGCCUCAGAUUGUCCAAAGAAACAUCAACCACUGCCCAGGUUCCAUCAGCAUGCUGUUUGCAAUACCUUACAAAGUAGUUUUCUCUUGUUGGAACAAGUGGGGAAGGGACUUGGUACUCUGCUGUCAUCUGAAAUCACCAUUAUGUUAGUAUCAUUUUACAGUAAUAAAAGUUAAUUGAAACAGAUAGGAUUCGGGUUUUGGUCGAUAUUAUUUAUUUAGUUUAAUUUAUGAAUUGUUUUAGGAAUAUUUUGAGUUAAGAUGUAAGGAUUUGUUC